GGAGUGCCCCGUACCAACCCUUUAUUCCCCAUGAGUUUUCUGAACCUGAGAGGCAAGGCUGAAUCUUCAGGAAAGAGCCUCAGAUCAUGGUGGCAAGAUGAACAAGAAGAAAUUCCUCCCAUUGGCUGAUUUUUUGGAAGCCUACUGUGUUACAGCUGCUUGUGAAACAGCCGUGAGGGUCACCCUCUCUCCAUGUUCCCAAAUAGAGAAGAAGGUGGCCAAGGAGUGGAUGCAUCCACAACUCUGCGUAGUUCUGUCUGGCUUUGUUCUCUUCUGCUGGAAACAGAUUUCCUCAGAUGAAGGAAUACGGCCACCAGCAGCUUCUACUUCAUGUCCUCCCACUUCUAUGACCCCCAGUACAAGACAUGUUCUUCCUCUCCACUGAAAGAUACACCCCAGAGGAAAAGGAGUCCACAAAUGAGAUGAGAGAUGGGUGACAUGAGAGUACAAGCAGACCCAGCAAAGAGUUACUGGAUAUCAGAGCAGAAUGGAGUUUCUAAAAAGAAGCAAUGGUCAAAGACAUCAGACAUUACAGAGGGAUUGAGCAGCACAUAACACAAGUGUUCCUGACAAGGUAACAUGCAAAAGUCAAUGUCCCAUUUACCUGUGAACUAAUAUUGUGGAUGUGUAAACAUCAUUAUCAUGGUCCCUUUCCUGAGUUUUGGUGCUUCAGUGUUGUCAAUAGACACAUUAAGUUGGGAAACUAUCCAUAAAUUUGGGGGCUCCACAAAGAGGUGUUUUUGUAUGGUUAAAAAGUAUUGACUAAUGUAAAAACAAAUGGAUAAAGGACCCAUGAAUAACAAUGACAUAAAUUCCAGAGAAGAACCAUGAUGGACCUGGUGUGGCUCACACACCUGCCGAAGUAAAAGAAUUGCUCAGGCUGAGUCACAUCACAGUGAUGCCUGUGAGUAAGAGACCAAGUGCCAGGACUGGUAGUCCUAUCAGAAUUACAAAACUGGAGUUGGGUAAAGCUGAAGGAAGGCAUGUGGUUGACCAAGACAAAUGGUUACAGGAACAUAACCAAGUGUACAUACAUCCCCAGUCUUCCAAUAACAACAGUUAUUAGUAUUCUUCAUCAAUAUUUAUGUUGUACCUAUUAUACAUCAUACCUAUGUAGGUCUUGGGUAUUACGGAGAUGAGUAGGACAAGAUCCUAAACUUCAAAGUUCAGGUUGAUGACAGACAGACAUAGAUGAAAAUAAAUUGGGCCCUCUGGGAUGAGAGCUCCAGUAGAAAAAUUUGAAAAGGAGAGUAGGAGGAGAGAGAAAGGGAUGAAUGGAUGGAUCAAAGGGAUGAAUUAUACUAGGAAGGAUGGAUCAGGAUGAGCUUCAUGGGGAUUCCCAGUUUAGAGGAGGGCACUGAAGGAGGCAUAGGGGAUUUCCAGGAGGAUGAGAUUGAUUCCCCAAAACAUCUCCCAACUUAAUUAACCACUAAGCCCAGUUUUACUAGAGAAUAUCGCAGAUUUGCAGUACAGAGGACAAUUAUUGGGAGGUACAGAGCUAGUCCUAAUUUCACAUAUAGAAACUAGAGCUUGUAGAAAUUAAGUGAUUUGACCAAAGUAAUACAGCUAGAGAGUGGCAGGCCUAGGGCCAGACCCAGAUAUCUUGAUGACCUGAGCAGUUCUUCUUCCAUAUCUCCACAUAAAACCCUGAGAAGCCAAGUUGGGAGGUAGGCUGAGCCUCACCCUGGUUUUCCAAAGGCACAGUCUAGAGUGCCAGAGACAGUUGCAGGUAUAGUGUGCCCAGGGUACCAUCAACUCACGAGCCUAGAGGAAUUCUAAGAAGCAAGUGCUCACUGCGAAUUGUAAUUUCACAACCAUGUAGUUGCAACAAAACUGUUUCUGCAAAACACAACUGGCCAUCAUAAAGCAGCUAGUACCUCCCCACGUUACCUAUAGUAACUCAUGCAACUUGGAUUGCUUUUUAAUUAAAUUGAUGGGGGCUAAGUUCUAGGCAGGCUAUUUCCUCAGUAGAUCUGUGACUCAGGAUGAAGGCAGGGCUUGUGGUUUCCAUUAGAAAACAAAAACAUGGAGGAGAGGAGUCCCUAUGUCUCACUCACGUGAACUUGUAAGGCAGAUGGCAGGGCUCACAGACACCUGGAGGGAUGACUGUUUGGAAGUCACUGGGUUGAGUCAGCCUUUAUGGCUUCAGUGUCUUCCUGUGAAGCCUGAACUGGAGACUCUUCUGAUUUCCUGAGCACAGAUUUCAGACGCCUGAGGCAAAGCCAGAGCCAGGCAGGGCUGGGCUGGGAAGAUGGACCAGAUGGGCAGGAGCUGCAGCUAGAGGGGCAAUGGCACACACCAUGUAGGUAGGACAGGUGUGGGAGCCACUGCCCCUUUCUGUGCUGCAUUCUUGGUAUGGGCAGCCGUGGCUCCACAGAUACAGUCCCUAAGCAUGAACUACAGGCAGUAACAAGUGGACCCCAUUUGUGAGCUAAACAAGGGCAUGGGCUCACAGGUAUGUGUGUGGUCUGAGCAGGCAUGUCAGGAAUUGCAAAGCAUCAUCUUUCACAGUGAAAAGGCUAUAAGAGUAGUGAUAGAGGAAGGCAGACAAAACAUUGCGGGUGGCUGGUGAGAGGGGAACUUGAGCCUCCUCAAAGUCUCAGUAUAACAUCCUGUCAUUCCCAAGAAAAGAUAAAUGCCCACAAUUGCCAAGACACUGUAAACCAGCCAUGUCAACCAUGAAUCGAACCAUCACACUUGUAGUUGGGUAAAAAUUCCAAGUUUUCAUCAGAAUAACAAAUGAAAACAAAGCCUAUUAGUGCCACCUCAAGGAAAGACCUAACCCACUCAAGCCUGAGGUCACUGCUAGCCUCUUCUUCUCAUUUCUUUUGACUAAAUAUACAUUGUUCAUGAUACUAUAAUGUUAUUGGUCUGAAACAGGUUGGAAAACUUGGAGCCACUUCCUAUGAACGACUAAGCUAUCUAGUCAUACUUGCUUGACUAUUUUUUUGUGUGUGUGGCUUUAUAGACAGAUUCACCAUGGUAAGAAUCGUGGCUUUGCCAUUUAUUGGUUGUGUGACCUUGGAUAAAUUACUUAAUCUCUGUAAAUCACAACUCAAGAGUCUUGGAAAAUGAUUAUGUGAGAUAAUAUCUAUAAAGCACUGGAACACAGCAGGUGCUAAAAA
ensembl:lncRNA